AUGUCCCCGGGGCCUGCGACGGCCCCGGCGGAGGGAGGCAGGGAGACGGCGGAGGUAAGGAGCCCGGCGGCGGGCGGCCCCGCCGGGGUGGACCCGGCCGCGGGGCGCCCGUGGGGCCGUGGCCGCGGGGCGCGGGCGGGCUGGGAGGCAGGGCGGGGAGGCCGGACUCCUCCUCCGGCGAGGCCGGACGUGAACGCCAGGCGCGCCGGUGGCCCGCGGUGGCCCGCGGUGCGUGGGACGCCGGCCGGCCCCGCCGCGGCCCAGGCGCUGCCCGCAUGGCUCCCCGCUCUGCCCCCCUUCCCCCCUCCGCCGCCCCAAACCCAUCCCCGCCGGGUCCCCACGGGCCCGGGCGGCCCGCUCUGUGCGAGGGGAUCCCCGGGGGGGGGGGGGGGGGGGGGGCUCUGCCCGCCCGACGCCGGGCGUGGGGUCCCCGCGGGGCUCUGCUCCCGGGGCGCUCCGGGGAGGGCUGAACUCGUCCCCGGGGGUUGUCCGUGGGUCCGUCCUGCCGGCGCUGUGGCCGGGCCGUCGAGGCAGGGAGCCCCGCUCGGGGGACGUCCGUCCGUCCGUGCGUCUGUCCGUCCGUCCGGGCUGCGCGUCCGUCCGCCUGCCCGGCGGUGCCGAGAGGUGUGCGCAGACCCGGGGGUCGGCCGGCGGGCGGGUGGUGGUGGCGGGGGUCGGGGGCCGCCGGGGGACCCGCUGCCGGUGCCGGUGCCGCUGCCGGCGGGGUGCGAGGCUCCGCGGGAGCUCGGCGGCGGUGCGCGCCCCGGCGCGGAGCCGGUGCUGAUGUGGGUCGGGCCGCGGCUCCUGCUGCUGACGGGAUCCCGGUGCCGCCGCGGUCCCGGGGCGGUCCCGGCGCUCGUGCGGGUCGGAGUCCCGGUGCCGCCGCCGUGCGGGUCGGGGCGCCGGUCGGGAUCCUGGUGCGGGCGCGGAUCGCGGUCCCGGUGCCGGUGCCGGUGCCCGCCCCACCGGUCAGGUGACGGCGGCUGGAAUUUGACACCGCCGGCGGCGGCGGCGGCGGCGGGAGCGGGAUGGAGCCGCCGCUGCCCCGCACUGCGCGCCCGCCCGCCGCCACCGGCACCGCACCCCGAGGCCCACCGCGACCGGGACACGCACCCCGAGGCGCAGCGGGAGCGGCACCGGGAGCCGCGGCGGGAGCCGGUGCCGGUGCCGGUGCCGGAGGGGCAGCGCCGGCCCCCGCCCGCGCCCCGCCCCGGCGCGGCGGCAGCGGGCGGCGGGGGGCGGCGGGGAGCGGAGGCGAUGCGGGGAGGCGGCGGCCCGGGGGAUGGUCCCCGCCGCGGGCACGGUGAGUGCGGGCCGGGGCGGCGGGCGGCAGCGUCCGCCCCAGCCUGCCGGAGGCUCCGGGCCUCGGCGGCGGCUCGUACCGGGGCUGCGGGGGAGGGUGGGGGGGAGGCGGGGUGGGGGGGCGCUUCGCCGCCCGUACCCCGGCAAUACCCGCGGGGCGCCGAGGGGGGUCGGGCCGCCCCCCGGCAGGUCCCCGCCGGGCGGCUGCCGGGGUGCCGAGCCCGGCCCGGCGGCGGGAAGAGCUCGGGGCUGCGGCGGGGACGGGGUUCCCUGCGCGGGCGGGGAGAGGCGGGACCCCGCGGCGGGUGCCCGGGGGGCACGGGGACGGUCUCACCCGCCUCUUCCCCGGGCUCCCGCCCCGGCCCUUUGGGCACGUCGGGCAGGUCUGUGUCCCGGCUGCCCGGGCGGUGGGCGGGGGAGAGCCCCGGGGUCGGGGUGCCCGGUCCGGCGCCGCCCGGUGACCCCCGGCUCUGCUUUCCCCGGGCCGGGGCCGAGUUUGGUCUCGCCCGUGUGCCCCACGUGUCCGACUCCGGCCUCCCCCGGCUUUGCGGGGCGGGUGCAGCUCCGCGUCACACGUGGGGUUGA
ensembl:lncRNA